rnacentral:rRNA from 1 species
AGCGGACAGAUGGGAGCUUGCUCCCUGAUGUUAGCGGCGGACGGGUGAGUAACACGUGGGUAACCUGCCUGUAAGACUGGGAUAACUCCGGGAAACCGGGGCUAAUACCGGAUGGUUGUUUGAACCGCAUGGUUCAAACAUAAAAGGUGGCUUCGGCUACCACUUACAGAUGGACCCGCGGCGCAUUAGCUAGUUGGUGAGGUAACGGCUCACCAAGGCAACGAUGCGUAGCCGACCUGAGAGGGUGAUCGGCCACACUGGGACUGAGACACGGCCCAGACUCCUACGGGAGGCAGCAGUAGGGAAUCUUCCGCAAUGGACGAAAGUCUGACGGAGCAACGCCGCGUGAGUGAUGAAGGUUUUCGGAUCGUAAAGCUCUGUUGUUAGGGAAGAACAAGUACCGUUCGAAUAGGGCGGUACCUUGACGGUACCUAACCAGAAAGCCACGGCUAACUACGUGCCAGCAGCCGCGGUAAUACGUAGGUGGCAAGCGUUGUCCGGAAUUAUUGGGCGUAAAGGGCUCGCAGGCGGUUUCUUAAGUCUGAUGUGAAAGCCCCCGGCUCAACCGGGGAGGGUCAUUGGAAACUGGGGAACUUGAGUGCAGAAGAGGAGAGUGGAAUUCCACGUGUAGCGGUGAAAUGCGUAGAGAUGUGGAGGAACACCAGUGGCGAAGCGACUCUCUGGUCUGUAACUGACGCUGAGGAGCGAAAGCGUGGGGAGCGAACAGGAUUAGAUACCCUGGUAGUCCACGCCGUAAACGAUGAGUGCUA